AGGACCGAUAUUUUUGAUUUCUUGGUGGAUAUUGUGCCCAGAGAUGAGAUCAAAGAUGAGGCUGGGCUGGGAGGGAUGGUUGGGGCCACGGCUAGCGGAGUGCCUUAUUAUUAUCCGCCAAUGGGGCAGCCGGCAGGUCCGGGCCCUGGAGGAAUGAUGAUUGGGAGGCCCGCCGUGGAUCCUACUGGAGUUUAUGUCCAGCCACCUUCACAGGCGUGGCAGUCUGUGUGGCAGACGGCUGCGGCUGAGGAUGGCUCGUAUGGAAGCGGAGGGAGCAGCGGGCAGGGGAACCUCGAUGGACAAGGUUAAGCAAGUCAGAUGCUGUGGUGCACCCAGAAGGCAAUGAACCUCAGCUAAUACUACUUGGAUUUUUGCUUGCCUAAGAUUGUUAAUGUGCGUGUCUGCUAUUAUUAAUGGAAGCUGUCUUUGAUUGUAACGGCAUAACUAGAAACUUAAAACGUUGACUUAAUUUUGUAACAGCCAUACAAUCGUUGUCAUGACUUGCCUGAUUAUAAACUAAUGUGCAGUUUCUUGAUUUAAAAAAAAAAAAA
rnacentral:misc_RNA from 1 species